CUAUUUCCUCAGCAGAGCGCGCCAAGAGAUUGGCCGCACAGCGUGGAGGGAUGCUGCCUUCCGCUGUGGACUUGUUCAUGGAUACACACAUGAGGGAUGAGUCUGGAAAGAAGGUUCCGAUCAACGACAAAGUCCAAAAAAUCAAGGAAAGUUAUGACAAAACUCUUGCUCAAUGUGAAGAAAGAGGUGAAACCAAGGCCCCGAACCAGAUUUUCUUUGAGACUGUUGGUGGCAGAAAGAAAGGGUGGGUUCCUGGUUUGG